UACAGAGGGUGCGAGCGUUAAUCGGAAUUACUGGGCGUAAAGCGUGCGUAGACGGUUAUUUAAGUCGGAUGUGAAAGCCCCGGGCUCAACCUGGGAAUUGCAUUCGAGACUGAAUAGCUAGGGUGCGGUAGAGGGAAGCGGAAUUUCCGGUGUAGCGGUGAAAUGCGUAGAUAUCGGGAGGAACACCAGUGGCGAAGGCGACUACCUGGCCUGUUUCUUGACGCUGAGGCGCGAAAGCUAGGGGAGCAAACGGG
rnacentral:rRNA from 1 species